rnacentral:lncRNA from 1 species
UGGAUAUCAAGGUUCAGGAUGAGAGGAUGAAUCAUCUGCAUACUUUAUCCAAAAGGAACUGGGCUUUCUAAGCCCAAAGCUCUCAUGUGAUGUACAUAGUGAAGCUGAAGGCUAGGAUGUCAUGGUGUUAGGGAGGUUGGCUAUGCUCGCAAAGCAGGAAUGCUGAGUCAGUUGAUGGAGGCAGAUUUUGAUGAGUGUUGUGAAUUACUGGUUUGGCGUGGAACAUGAAAUGGCUUUGUACCAAGUCAUUGGCAAGGAGAAAAGAGCUGGCACGGGCGGAGACCCCGCUGGCUUAGAAGAGGACAAAGCUGACUGGAUGGUGGACGAUAGUUGCCCUUGUAUGGAGGUGGCUGUAGAAGGAAGAGAACAGUGCUGGGGAGUUCUGCAAGCUGAUUCGUUACCGGCCAAAUGAAGGGGCAAAAGCAUUGGGCUGCAUCUGGGCCACAGGAGCUAGGAGCAGCUGAGGAAUCAGGUGGGACGGUGGCAAGAGAGGUCCAGAUGGAGAACUUGGCCCGGCCGGGGCCCAGCUGAAGAGUGAAGAAAUACCGUUGGGGACAAGAAAGAG